GCUUCGGUAGUGCAACGGUUCGAGCACUCGCCUCUGAAUAGGGCGAAACGUGGGUUCAAGUCUCAGCUAGCGCU